rnacentral:lncRNA from 1 species
GGAUCCAAACCUGUGAACCCCAGGCCACUGAAGCGGAGCACACAAGCUUAACCACUGUGCCACCAGGCCAGCCCCAAUAGGGCUGUGAGUAUGGGCAAAACGGAGGGCGGGGGACAGCUGCCCGUGGGAGCUGCGCUCUAUUUGGCAAAAGUGGCUGAGGGAGUUUCUAGGGGCAGGAAAUUCUAAUGCUCAAGUUUGGGUUCUCUGCCUUUCUGUGAGGUAAACUCCACUGGUCUCUGAAAUGAUCAGUAAAACCUGCCAUACCCCCAAAAGCUUUGUGAGUGGUGUGGUGACCCCCUCAGACCCCUAGAGUUGGUAUAAAGAUUAUUUUAAAGUGAAAACACUUGAGCUACAGAAGAUGCAGAAAGAAAUCUUAGCUGAAGCUCACUUAUCUGACUAAAGCAGAGCCUCCCCAAAUACGGCUGCCCUGACCCCGCUCUGAGGGAGUUUCCCGCAAAUUCAGCUGCCAAGAAGACAGACUGCCCAUUCCGCCUGGUCUGCUUGCCUGCAUGGGCUGCCCCAGGUUUUGAGGAUUUGCCCAAGAGAAGUAACCCGCAUGACCCAGACACUUCAGGAACCUGCAGAAGAUCACCAUUCACACAGCUUAUUCCUGAACCACCGGGAUUCUGGAACUGGGACUUGAUCAGCAGACAGCUAUCGAUCACUGGGCAUGUGUGAGCCACUCUGGGGGAUUCAGAGAUGUCAUCUGAGAAGCUGACAGGCCCAUGGUGGUGACAAGUCACAGCCACUCGUGGCAGCUGGAGCCACGUGGGGCC